rnacentral:rRNA from 1 species
AUGCCGUCUCAGGCGAGAAAAGGAGUGGUCGCAUUAGGACGCGAGGAGGGGGAGCAGCCAACCGUGCUCAAGGCCGUCCACGGUGGCCGCAAAUCGAGGCGGCGGCUACAACUCGAAGCUGCAGAAGACGGAGGCGAAGAUGUCGAGCAUGUGGCCCUGCGCACAAGAGAAUACAGUGCAAUCCAAUUUCCUUACUCUGUAGACUCCAGAGGAAUUGCUUCUGUACUUGACAGAUUAGGAGCUGGUGUUUCAUCGCCGAAACCGGAUGCUAAAGGUGCCGGACUCCCAGCCCCCCUCCCCGCGUCAACGGUCCGCCCCGACGCCCCGGCACGUCUCCUGCUGCGGGGCGAGAGCUCCAAGGGCGGGGCUGCGCAUUCCCCCGCGGUCCAUGAGGAGCGCCCCUGCUCUAGGAGGAGCAAGCUUAAGUCCAUUGUGGUCGUGCCUCCCCCCGCCCCGCCCCUUUCUUCUCCGGGCAGCGAGGAAGACUGGACUGAGGUCAAGUCGUGGAAGGAGCGGCGCGCGCUCCAGAGGCCAGCGAGCAAGCCUGGGCGUUGUCCGUCGGGGCGGUCGGGCAGGCGCCCCGCCAUUAAUGGCGACGCGGGCCGUGCCGCCUUCUUAAGCCGCUUCGAUGGCCUGUGUUUUCGCUGCCUCAACAGUAGUCAUCGCCGUGUAGAUUGUAGAGAUCCACUGCGCUGCAUCAUUUGCAAGCUGCAAGGCCACCACGGCAGGGAGUGCCCGCAGAAUCCAAAGAACCAAGAUCGGGCGGGCAACUACACCCAGAGUCACCGCCCACCUCCCCAGUGUGGCCCGGUGAAGGAGAGACUGCGCUUCCCCAUGCCGCCACCGACAGAGUCGCCGCUGACCGCCAUGGAACGCCAGGCGUACCUCACCGACCCCUCGCGCCGCCCAAGGUCGAGCCACAAGGUGGUGGUGAUCACGCCGGCCAUGGAGCACCAGGAGUUUCUGCUUCGCAAGCAUGCGGUGCUCCUCACGGCUGCAAUGCCGCAGCACGCGACCAACCCGAUGGCGGUGGGCCGCGUGAUCGAAGAGUAG